rnacentral:rRNA from 1 species
CGUAACACGUGGGCAACCUGCCCUAGAGUGGGGGACAACAUUCCGAAAGGGGUGCUAAUACCGCAUGUGUAUCGGAAUGGCAUCAUUCAGGAUACAAAGGAUUUAUUCGCUCUAGGAUGGGCCCGCGGCCUAUCAGCUUGUUGGUGAGGUAACGGCUCACCAAGGCUACGACGGGUAGCUGGUCUGAGAGGACGAUCAGCCGGAUUGGGACUGAGAUACGGCCCAG